rnacentral:lncRNA from 1 species
CGAGCACAGGCGGCAAUCAAUCGCAGACGACGGUUUUUUUAUAUACUAUACCCGAGGAUAUAAUAUUAACAAUCAUCCCAAGGAUCAUUUAAAAGCAAGAGGAGGAUAUGGUCAGAAGAUGCUUGAAAUGCGGUGACAGCAUAGUAUCUAUGCUGUCUCCGCUUCACGGGCAUCUUCUGCCUAAAUCCUUCUCCUGCUUUUAAACUCAGCAACGCGUACCCAGAUGCGGAGACAGUAUAGAUAUCUAUGCUGUCUCCACAUCUGGAUAUGCGCUGCUGAGUUAUUCGAAUUACGAACCUGUGCAGAAAUGAACCAUGAAUAUUGUUUCACUAUCAGGCCACCUCCUCAGUGUGUGGCUGGCAUCUGGUGGAGCUGGACUGGGCUGUUGGAUGUGAGUUGUCAUUACUUACCUUCCCCUUUCUCUGAACACUGUGAUUAAGUGAGCCGAAUAGCCCAGGGACGUGCACUCUCUUUACUGCAAGAUAAUCAGAUACGAUGAAGUCUAAAGGUACUAUGCUGCUGUUUAUAGCAGGACUUGUAGUGUCCAUAACACAUAGGAGGAUUUGUUGUCAACCGUUUAUGGAACAAAACGAAUGAAUACAAACAGCGGAGAUAGGAAUGCAGUAGGACUGAAAGGCAAAAAUUACAGAAAUAUGU